rnacentral:misc_RNA from 1 species
AACGCAUCUUGCACCCUUUGGUGUUCCGAAGGGUAUGCCUGUUUGAGUGUCUUUAACGACAUCAACUCCACCCGAGAGGCUUUACCCCCUCUCGGGUGGACGUUGGACGUGAGCGCUGCCGUGAUCGGUUUCACCGGCUCGCUUGAAAAGCGUUAAGCCCGAUCCUCAUCGGUCCUACCCCGUCAGGUUGGUGUUGUAGAUCUCUCGAAUCGCCUCGUGACGGGCGUGACCUUUGGGCCGUCGAGCUUUGUGUGAACGUGCCUCGUUCUUGAAUCGGACCUCAAAUCAGGUAGGACUACCCGCUGAACUUAA